rnacentral:lncRNA from 1 species
GAAAAAGCUUCACUGGAACCUAAAGCAGUCACUUGAGUUCAUCUCCCCUGGAGAAGGCUGUAAAGCCAGCACGGCGUACCCAGAGAUACGGAAAACGGUGAGUGUCGCUCUGCGUAAUCUGUUUUCUUUCAUUUGAUGAAGGUCAUGACUUUGAUAUUUUCCACCAGACUGGCCCGAUUUGGGUGCCAGGCUGUUUGUUUGUUUACAGAUGGAGAAAUGUUUCCGACAUCUGUCUGCAGCGUUCUCCCAGCAGCUACCUCAUGUUUCUUGCAACUUCCCAGCCUUGCCCACGGCCUGUUCUUGGAAGGGCACCAUCCCCGUGGUGGAGGGACUGCUGGAGAGAGCAGUGAGAACUUGGAGG